rnacentral:ncRNA from 7 species
UACGGAGGGUGCAAGCGUUAAUCGGAAUUACUGGGCGUAAAGCGCACGCAGGCGGUUUGUUAAGUCAGAUGUGAAAUCCCCGCGCUUAACGUGGGAACUGCAUUUGAAACUGGCAAGCUAGAGUCUUGUAGAGGGGGGUAGAAUUCCAGGUGUAGCGGUGAAAUGCGUAGAGAUCUGGAGGAAUACCGGUGGCGAAGGCGGCCCCCUGGACAAAGACUGACGCUCAGGUGCGAAAGCGUGGGGAGCAAACAGG